GGUAUACUGUUGAUGUGGUUGAUAUUUCUGGUAUCCAAGAAGAAAUCUCCCGAAGAUCCUACCUAACUUUUUGUAACUAAAGCAGCAUACAUACACAGGGGUGGGAAAAUGUCUAGACUGAUUCAACUAGCCUAUCAAAAAUCUUGGAUGCAGUUCUUUCUUGUGAAAAAGCAAGGGAACUUAAAAAAUAUCCCUGUGGGCCGGGCGCCUUGGCUCAGGCCUGUAAUCCCAUCACUUUGGGAGGCUGAGGCGGGCGGAUCAUGAGGUCAGGAGAUCAAGACCAUCUUGGCUAACACAGUGAAACCCCGUCUCUACUAAAAAUGUAAAAACAAAAUUAGUCAGGCGUGGUGGCGCGUGCCUGUAGUCCCAGCUACUCGGGAGGCUGAGGCAGGAGAAUGACGUGAACCCGGAAGGCGGAGCUUGCAGUUAAGAGGAAAUCGCACCACUGCACUCCAGCCUGGGCGACAGAGCAAGACUCUGUCAAAAAAAAAAAAAAGUCCCUGUGAACAACUUAUAGCAAAAAUGAAACAAAUGAAAAAGAAGCUUUGUGUACUACAAAAGGAACGAUCAGAAGCAAAAGAAAUAAAAUCACAGAGAAUCAAAAAAUUAAAUGGAAACAAGAGCUCUGUAGGGUGAGAUUGACUUUAAACCAAGAAGAAGAGAAGAAAUGUCAAUAUAGUAAAUGAAAAAAUUAGGCAAGAAUUAGGAAGAAUCGAAGAGCAACGUAAGAAAAAGUUACAAGUGAAGCAACGUGAACUGGCUCUCCGAAUAUACAAAAUAUGAAAUUGCAGACUGUAAGAAGUAAUUUGAAUCAGGUAAAUCAGUCUCUGGUAAAAAUUUUAUAUUUUAACUUUAUUUCUACAAUAUUACUUUUAAUAUCCCUUCGAUUUAGUAUGCAUUAUUCAGAAUUAUGAUAAUACUGCUAUAAUAUUUAGAAACAAGCUUUCGUACGUUUCAUUCAUAAGUUUUCAUUUAUCUUGGGUAUGUACGUAGGAAUGGAAUUGCUGGGUCAUAAAGUACCUAUGCACAACCUUUUCAGCAAUCACCUCACAGUUUUUCAAAGUGUGUGCUAUUUUACUUUCCCACCGGCAAUGUAUGAAAGAUUUAAUUUCUC